AGAGUUUGAUCAUGGCUCAGAUUGAACGCUGGCGGCAUGCCUUACACAUGCAAGUCGAACGGUAACAGGUCUUCGGAUGCUGACGAGUGGCGAACGGGUGAGUAAUACAUCGGAACGUGCCCGAUCGUGGGGGAUAACGAGGCGAAAGCUUUGCUAAUACCGCAUACGAUCUACGGAUGAAAGCGGGGGAUCUUCGGACCUCGCGCGGACGGAGCGGCCGAUGGCAGAUUAGGUAGUUGGUGGGAUAAAAGCUUACCAAGCCGACGAUCUGUAGCUGGUCUGAGAGGAUGAUCAGCCACACUGGGACUGAGACACGGCCCAGACUCCUACGGGAGGCAGCAGUGGGGAAUUUUGGACAAUGGGCGAAAGCCUGAUCCAGCCAUGCCGCGUGCAGGAUGAAGGCCUUCGGGUUGUGAACUGCUUUUGUACGGAACGAAAAGCCUCUUUCUAAUAAAGAGGAGUCAUGACGGUACCGUAAGAAUAAGCGCCGGCUAACUACGUGCCAGCAGCCGCGGUAAUACGUAGGGUGCAAGCGUUAAUCGGAAUUACUGGGCGUAAAGCGUGCGCAGGCGGUUUUGUAAGACAGAGGUGAAACCCCCGGGCUCAACCUGGGAACUGCCUUUGUGACUGCAAGGCUGGAGUGCGGCAGAGGGGGAUGGAAUUCCGCGUGUAGCAGUGAAAUGCGUAGAUAUGCGGAGGAGCACCGAUGGCGAAGGCAAUCCCCUGGGCCUGCACUGACGCUCAUGCACGAAAGCGUGGGGAGCAAACAGGAUUAGAUACCCCGGUAGUCC
rnacentral:rRNA from 1 species